rnacentral:rRNA from 1 species
UGGGGAAUAUUGGACAAUGGGCGCAAGCCUGAUCCAGCCAUGCCGCGUGAGUGAUGAAGGCCCUAGGGUUGUAAAGCUCUUUUGUGCGGGAAGAUAAUGACGGUACCGCAAGAAUAAGCCCCGGCUAACUUCGUGCCAGCAGCCGCGGUAAUACGAAGGGGGCUAGCGUUGCUCGGAAUCACUGGGCGUAAAGGGUGCGUAGGCGGGUCUUUAAGUCAGGGGUGAAAUCCUGGAGCUCAACUCCAGAACUGCCUUUGAUACUGAGGAUCUUGAGUUCGGGAGUGGUGAGAGGAACUGCGAGUGUAGAGGUGAAAUUCGUAGAUAUUCGCAAGAACACCAGUGGCGAAGGCGGCUCACUGGCCCGAUACUGACGCUG